UCCCUGAUGUCUUGGACAGUAAAGAAUCUGCCUGCAAGGCAGAAGAGCCAGGUUCGAUCCCUGGGUUGGGAA
rnacentral:tRNA from 1 species